UACGUAGGGUGCGAGCGUUAAUCGGAGUUACUGGGCGUAAAGCGCGCGUAGGCGGGGAGCCAAGUCCGCUGUGAAAGCCCGGAGCUCAACUCCGGCGGGUCGGUGGAUACUGGUUGUCUUGAAGGUGCUAGGGGGAGAUGGAAUUACCGGUGUAGCGGUGAAAUGCGUAGAGAUCGGGAGGAACACCAGUGGCGAAGGCGACUACCUGGCCUGUUCUUGACGCUGAGGCGCGAAAGCUAGGGGAGCAAACGGG
rnacentral:rRNA from 1 species